GAAGGCCUUCCGUUUGUAAACCUCUUUCAGCAGGGACGAAGCGUGAGUGACGGUACCUGCAGAAGAAGCACCGGCUAACUACGUGCCAGCAGCCGCGGUAAUACGUAGGGUGCGAGCGUUGUCCGGAAUUACUGGGCGUAAAGAGUUCGUAGGCGGUUUGUCGCGUCGGUUGUGAAAACCCGGGGCUCAACUUCGGGCUUGCAGGCGAUACGGGCAGACUUGAGUGUUUCAGGGGAGACUGGAAUUCCUGGUGUAGCGGUGAAAUGCGCAGAUAUCAGGAGGAACACCGGUGGCGAAGGCGGGUCUCUGGGAAACAACUGACGCUGAGGAACGAAAGCGUGGGUAGCAAACAGGAUUAGAUACCCUGGUAGAC
rnacentral:rRNA from 1 species